rnacentral:rRNA from 1 species
AUAAUUACAACUUUCAACAACGGAUCUCUUGGUUCUGGCAUCGAUGAAGAACGCAGCGAAAUGCGAUAAGUAGUGUGAAUUGCAGAAUUCAGUGAAUCAUCGAAUCUUUGAACGCACAUUGCGCCCUUUGGUAUUCCAAAGGGCAUGCCUGUUCGAGCG